rnacentral:rRNA from 1 species
UACAGAGGUCCCAAGCGUUGUUCGGAUUCACUGGGCGUAAAGGGUGCGUAGGCGGGUUGGUAAGUCCGUGGUGAAAUCCCCAAGCUUAACUUGGGAACUGCCGUGGAUACUAUCAAUCUUGAAUAUCGUGGAGGUAAGCGGAAUAUGUCAUGUAGCGGUGAAAUGCUUAGAUAUGACAUAGAACACCAAUUGCGUAGGCAGCUUACUACACGAUCAUUGACGCUGAGGCACGAAAGCGUGGGGAGCAAACAGG